rnacentral:rRNA from 1 species
UACGGAGUGUGCAAGCGUUACUCGGAAUCACUGGGCUUAAAGGGCGCGUAGGCGGGCUGCCAAGUCUGGGGUGAAAUCCCGCGGCUCAACCGUGGAACUGCCUCAGAUACUGGCGGCCUCGAGGGAGAUAGGGGCGAGCGGAACUAAUGGUGGAGCGGUGAAAUGCGUUGAUAUCAUUAGGAACUCCGGUGGCGAAGGCGGCUCGCUGGAUCUUUUCUGACGCUGAGGCGCGAAAGCUAGGGGAGCAAACGGG